UCCAAGGCUAAAUACUCCUGACUGACCGAUAGUGAACCAGUACCGUGAGGGAAAGGCGAAAAGAACCCCGGCGAGGGGAGUGAAAAAGAACCUGAAACCGUGUACGUACAAGCAGUGGGAGCACGCUUAGGCGUGUGACUGCGUACCUUUUGUAUAAUGGGUCAGCGACUUAUAUUCUGUAGCAAGGUUAACCGAAUAGGGGAGCCGAAGGGAAACCGAGUCUUAACUGGGCGUUAAGUUGCAGGGUAUAGACCCGAAACCCGGUGAUCUAGCCAUGGGCAGGUUGAAGGUUGGGUAACACUAACUGGAGGACCGAACCGACUAAUGUUGAAAAAUUAGCGGAUGACUUGUGGCUGGGGGUGAAAGGCCAAUCAAACCGGGAGAUAGCUGGUUCUCCCCGAAAGCUAUUUAGGUAGCGCCUCGUGAAUUCAUCUCCGGGGGUAGAGCACUGUUUCGGCAAGGGGGUCAUCCCGACUUACCAACCCGAUGCAAACUGCGAAUACCGGAGAAUGUUAUCACGGGAGACACACGGCGGGUGCUAACGUCCGUCGUGAAGAGGGAAACAACCCAGACCGCCAGCUAAGGUCCCAAAGUCAUGGUUAAGUGGGAAACGAUGUGGGAAGGCCCAGACAGCCAGGAUGUUGGCUUAGAAGCAGCCAUCAUUUAAAGAAAGCGUAAUAGCUCACUGGUCGAGUCGGCCUGCGCGGAAGAUGUAACGGGGCUAAACCAUGCACCGAAGCUGCGGCAGCGACACUAUGUGUUGUUGGGUAGGGGAGCGUUCUGUAAGCCUGUGAAGGUGUGCUGUGAGGCAUGCUGGAGGUAUCAGAAGUGCGAAUGCUGACAUAAGUAACGAUAAAGCGGGUGAAAAGCCCGCUCGCCGGAAGACCAAGGGUUCCUGUCCAACGUUAAUCGGGGCAGGGUGAGUCGACCCCUAAGGCGAGGCCGAAAGGCGUAGUCGAUGGGAAACAGGUUAAUAUUCCUGUACUUGGUGUUACUGCGAAGGGGGGACGGAGAAGGCUAUGUUGGCCGGGCGACGGUUGUCCCGGUUUAAGCGUGUAGGCUGGUUUUCCAGGCAAAUCCGGAAAAUCAAGGCUGAGGCGUGAUGACGAGGCACUACGGUGCUGAAGCAACAAAUGCCCUGCUUCCAGGAAAAGCCUCUAAGCAUCAGGUAACAUCAAAUCGUACCCCAAACCGACACAGGUGGUCAGGUAGAGAAUACCAAGGCGCUUGAGAGAACUCGGGUGAAGGAACUAGGCAAAAUGGUGCCGUAACUUCGGGAGAA
rnacentral:rRNA from 1 species